rnacentral:rRNA from 1 species
UACAGGGGGUGCAAACGUUGCUCGGAAUUAUUGGGCGUAAAGCGCGCGUAGGCGGCCACUUAAGUCGGAUGUGAAAGCCCUGGGCUCAACCCAGGAAGUGCACUCGAAACUGCGAGGCUAGAGUAUCGGAGAGGUUGGUGGAAUUCUCGGUGUAGAGGUGAAAUUCGUAGAUAUCGAGAGGAACACCGGUGGCGAAGGCGGCCAACUGGACGAAUACUGACGCUGAGACACGAAAGCGUGGGGAGCAAACAGG